UACGUAGGGUGCAAGCGUCGUCCGGAAUUAUUGGGCGUAAAGAGCUCGUAGGCGGUUUGUUGCGUCGGCUGUGAAAUCCCGAGGCUCAACCUCGGGUCUGCAGUCGAUACGAGCAAACUAGAGUGUUGCAGGGGAGACUGGAAUUCCUGGUGUAGCGGUGAAAUGUGUAGAGAUCGGGAGGAACACCAGUGGCGAAGGCGGCGAUCUGGGAAGAUACUGACGCUGAGGUGCGAAAGCGUGGGGAGCAAACAGG
rnacentral:rRNA from 1 species